GUGAAGAUUAGCAUAGGCCCUGUGCAAGGAUAACAUGCAAAUUGAUGAAUUGUUCCAUAUUUUG
rnacentral:snRNA from 1 species